AAGCGGUGGAGUAUGUGGUUUAAUUCGAUGCAACGCGAGAACCUACCUGGUCUUGACAUCCCGGAGACCCUUAGGAAACUAGGGGGUGCUUCCAUCUGGAAGAAUCUGGAGACAGGUGCUGCAUGGCUGCGUCAGCUCGUGUCGUGAGAUGUUCGGGUUAAAGUCCCCGCAACGAGCGCAACCCUUGCCUUUAGUUGCCAGCAGUUCGGCUGGGCACUCUAAAGGGACUGCCGGUGUUAAACCGGAGGAAGGUGGGGGAUGACGUCAAGUCCUCAUGGCCUUUAUGACCAGGGCUACACACGUACUACAAUGGCCGAUACAAAGGGCAGCGACACUGCGAGGUGAAGCCAAUCCCGUAAAAUCGGUCUCAGUCCGGAUUGGAGUCUGCAACUCGACUCCAUGAAGUUGGAAUCGCUAGUAAUCGUGGAUCAGCAUGCCACGGUGAAUACGUUCCCGGGCCUU
rnacentral:rRNA from 1 species